AUACACCAAAUAUAGUUGACCUAUGGCAUAUAGCAUUAGAUAAAAAGACCAAAACUCAAAAACUUAACUUUGACCACUGAACCAUGAAAAUGAGGUCAAGGUCACAUGACAUCUGCCCGCUAGACAUGUACACUUAACAAUCAUUCCAUACAACAAAUAUAGUAGACCUAUUGCAUAUGGUAUGAGAAAAACAGACCAAAACACAAAAAUUUAACUAUAACCACUGAACCAUGAAAAUGAGGUCAAGGUCAGAUGACACCUGCCAGUUGGACAUGUACACCUAACAGUCCUUCCAUACACCGAAUAUACUAG
rnacentral:lncRNA from 1 species